rnacentral:rRNA from 1 species
CAGUCGCCGCGGUAAUACGAAGGGUGCAAGCGUUACUCGGAAUUACUAGGCGUAAAGCGUGCGUAGGUGGUGGUUUAAGUCCGUUGUGAAAGCCCUGGGCUCAACCUGGGAAUUGCAGUGGAUACUGGGUCACUAGAGUGUGUCAGAGGAUGGUGGAAUUCCCGGUGUAGCGGUGAAAUGCGUAGAGAUCGGGAGGAACAUCAGUGGCGAAGGCGGCCAUCUGGGACAACACUGACGCUGAGGCACGAAAGCGUGGGGAGCAAACAGGAUUAGAUACCCGGGUAGUCCCUGUCUCUUAUAC